GGGCCCGCACAAGCGGUGGAGUAUGUGGUUUAAUUCGAUGCAACGCGAAGAACCUUACCAGGGUUUGACAUCCUGCGAAUCUCUUGGAAACAGGAGAGUGCCUUCGGGAACGCAGUGACAGGUGGUGCAUGGCUGUCGUCAGCUCGUGUCGUGAGAUGUUGGGUUAAGUCCCGCAACGAGCGCAACCCACGUCUUUAGUUGCCAGCAUUUAGUUGGGCACUCUAGAGAGACUGCCGGUGAUAAACCGGAGGAAGGUGUGGAUGACGUCAAGUCAUCAUGCCCCUUACAUCCUGGGCUACACACGUACUACAAUGCUACGGACAAAGGGCUGCAAGUUCGCGAGGACAAGCAAAUCCCAUAAACCGUGGCUCAGUUCAGAUCGUAGUCCGGAUUGGAGUCUGCAACUCGACUCCAUGAAGUCGGAAUUG
rnacentral:rRNA from 1 species